rnacentral:rRNA from 1 species
GGCUCAGGAUGAACGCUGGCGGCGUGCCUAACACAUGCAAGUCGAACGAAGCACUGCGGAUGGAGAUUCGUCAAAAUCUGCUUUGACUUAGUGGCGGACGGGUGAGUAAUGUGUGAGCAACCUGCCUUUCAGAGGGGGACAACAGUUGGAAACGACUGCUAAUACCGCAUAAUGUAUUGAAGGGGCAUCCUUUUGAUACCAAAGGAGCAAUCCGCUGAAAGAUGGGCUCACAUCUGAUUAGCUAGUUGGUGGGGUAACGGCCUACCAAGGCUGCGAUCAGUAGCCGGACUGAGAGGUUGAACGGCCACAUUGGGACUGAGAUACGGCCCAGACUCCUACGGGAGGCAGCAGUGGGGAAUAUUGGGCAAUGGGCGAAAGCCUGAACCCCAGCAACGCCGCGUGAAGGAAGAAGGUCUUCGGAUUGUAAACUUCUUUUAUGAGGGACGAAGGACGUGACGGUACCUCAUGAAUAAGCCACGGCUAACUACGUGCCAGCAGCCGC